rnacentral:misc_RNA from 1 species
GACAUGAGUAACAUGCUCCUUGGCAGUAAUUGGAGUCUCCAAGAUCUCACCCUCCCGAGGCAGCUCAAUCUCGGACCUCGGUAGAGCCUCAACUCCAACCUCAUGAACCACCACAGCCUCCACAACCUCCACAUCACGAGGCUGCUCAACCACAGUCUCCGCAACCUCCACAUCACGAGGCUUCUCGAUCGCCGACACUACAAGAGCAUCAGCAACACUCUCCG